UUAACGCAUGGAAGUAAAAAAUAUCUCUUUUAGGACAAGAAAGCCUGUUCGCUAGCGUAAUGAAUGCAUGCAAAAAUCUUGUUCUGAAACACUUGGUUAUAUGUAUUUUUUACCAUGAAAAAUUGUUCAAAUUCAUGCGAAAUGCUCGCGAAAAUGAGUGAUUUUGAAACGUGAAUAUCUUAUUCAUUUCUCAAUGAAAAUUCAUGUUGUUGGUCUCAUUCGACAGCUAAACCCUUUCUUGUUUCGAUGUUAAUUUGUCAAAAUUUACACAGAUCUGGAAAUAGAUGAUUUUUAGCUCAGAAGUGACAGACCGUAUUACCGGCAUAACAAUAAUGCGCCAUUUGCAAAGUUGCAACUUUCAACCGUCGUAGUUUUCUAAUGCAUGGAUUUAAAAAAUAUCUGCUUUAGAAUCAGAAAGCCAGUUACCCAGCCUAAUAAAUGCAUGCAAAGAUUUUGUUCCAAAACAUUUCGAUGUAGUAGAUUUUUAACUCUGAAAAAAGUGACGGAAUUCGUCAAAAUAGGCACGAAAAUGAGUGAUUUUCAGACGUGAAUAUCUUAUUCAAUCUUCGAUGUAAAUUCGUGUUCUUGGUCUCAUUCUAUAGCUAAACCCUUUCUUGUUUUAUGAUAAUUGUGUCAUAAUUUACAAUCUUAGGGAAAGACUUAAUUUCUAGCUCAGAAAUGACACACCACGGUAAACAACAAAAUGGCCGCUCCGUGACAACAAAGGUACAUGUUUGGGCGAUAAUUCUGAAAAAAAGUAAACAAGAUACGCAACUGACAAUUUGAUACCACAAAGACAAAUGUCUCCGCUUUACAAUGAGACCAUUUUCGGCUUUCUGCGAUCAGAAUUGACUUCAAAACAUCGAUUUGAAAUUGCCCUGUCGUUCACCAUCUCCGAACUUUUUCUGGAAACCCAAGUCUAAAAUUAGACCGUAUUUUCCGAAAUCUGGGCGGUGACCUGGGUCACGUGGGGUCAAACGUGAGGUCAAACUAGGUUCAGCAAGGAGCGGGAGUAAUGGCUUUGCGCGCGAACGUAUUUCUGUGGAAUAAAAUCAUUUUCUUGUGCUUGCAGAUGGAGGGAGCUGAAAAAUCUUUAUGACAAAUUACAUCUCAGAAUGUCUGCCGUCGAAAACUACCAAGGAUGGACUGGGAUGGCAAUUACAGGAGACUAAAUCUGCAUGCAAAGCACUGUGAUGUGAUUUGUACAGGCCAAGAUGUCUCAAGUUUUACAACCAAUCAACCAUAUUGAAGUUUUGUGUGACAGAUUUUCCACAGCAAAAAAAUAAGAGCAUUGUUGUGAAGUGGUGACCUGCCAAAGAUGUUACAGCAGUGGUGUGUGACAAAACUUCCAAAGGCACAAUUAUGAAAAGACAAUCAGGCUGCCGCUCACAGUGUUGUCUACAUUUUUGAUGACAGAACAGUGAUGUGUGCUUUUUAUUUUCGAAGAAGCAAAGAGAUAGACUCUGAUGUAUUUCGUAUUAACGUGUAUUGUUUUCUUCUGUUGAUAUCUGCCCGU
rnacentral:lncRNA from 1 species